rnacentral:rRNA from 1 species
UGGUGGGUUGCCUUGUCAGGUUGAUUCCGGUAACGAACGAGACCUCAGCCUGCUAACUAGUCACGUCCGCUCCGGCGGUCGGCAGACUUCUUAGAGGGACUAUUGUCGUUUAGGCGAUGGAAGUAUGAGGCAAUAACA